CAGGGAGGUGGGAGGACAGACAGCGUUUUCUAAAUUGAAUUAAAGCAAUCAAUUAUACAACGACAGGGCCAGGGAGGGCGGACCAGGGAGGAGGAACUCGUUGAAAACGGCAACUGUCUGCCGCCGCCACGGCCACUGCCACUGCCACUGCCACUGCCGAUGGCGGAAGCUCGGCAACUGCCUGCAAUUAGUUGCAACAUAAAUUUGGUCUGCCUUAAUGGACGGAUGCGCACAGUGGUACGGAACAAUGCGCCACAAAUGUUGAAAUCAUUCGAUGUCCCACAAAUGGAAUGUGCUGGAAUGUUUGUAAUUCUGAGCAAUACGGACAGUGUAUAUCGUAGCUUACUUAACAAAGUCGAAGAAUAUUAAGUUGCAACUCAA